GAUCCUGGCUCAGGACGAACGCUGGCGGCGUGCUUAACACAUGCAAGUCGAACGAUGAAAGUCGUUUUGAUAUCUUCGGAUUGAUAAACUUCUGGAUUAGUGGCGGACGGGUGAGUAACGCGUGAGCAAUCUGCCUUACACAAAGGGAUAGCCUCGGGAAACCGGGAUUAAUACCAUAUGAUAUCUACAAGCCGCAUGGCCUAUAGAUUAAAGAAUUUCGGUGUAAGAUGAGCUCGCGU
rnacentral:rRNA from 1 species